rnacentral:misc_RNA from 1 species
UUGGGUUUAUUUUUUGCACACUAUGACUUGUGUAUAACAUUCCCUCACAUCAAACUUACACCCAUUAUUCAAACCAUACUUUCCAAAUUAUAGGUACAUCAAAAAGACUUGUGUAAAAAAAAUUCACAGAAUUUUCACCAAAUAAAAGCAUUAUCAUCUGACUAUGAUGCUCCGGACGUGCUUCUAUUCUUGCAAAUCAUGAAAAUAGAAAAACAAAAGUUUUGUAUAAGAGAGCAAUGACUAGCACAAACAGGAUUUGAUCCCUAAUGGAGAUUGUGUUACAAUUUUUGUUGGAAUUAGGGUCAAAAUUUAAAGACAAGCACUUGAGCUCUAUAGAAAGAGGAGCUUGGCUUCCUUGGAAGUGAGGCACACAUAUUACUUCCUCACAGACACAUAUGAAAUCCCCCAUGCUCCAUUCCUGUGUCAUGAGAGCAAAAUUAUUUACAUUUUGCAAGAACGUUUCCUUUUUCCAUCACCAUCAUGGAUGCACCACAAGAGAUCACAACGCAAAUAUGCAAUUCAAAACUAGUGAUAAUGUGAUAUGCAUAUGCAACCCUACAAAUAAGAAGACUAAAAGGAGUAAUAGAGGAACAAUAAAACCUGAGAUACCUCAAUAUGGUGUCCUACAAUGACCACAAUGGUGUCUGGCCCUGCAUCGAAAGACAAAGGACCUUGCGCUGACCGGAGAAGAAAUUGAGAUGUUGUUGCAGGAAGGUGAAGGCAGAAAGUAUAAUCACAAGUUUUGCUGUUUCUCUCAUUAGAGGAAGACGGAUUUCGUAGCAUAUUAUCACUGUGGUUAUAUCUAUAUAAACUGAGGACAGACUCUUUCCCUUGGAUUCUCUUUCCAAAUUGCAUUCUAGCUAUGUUUUCGACAAAAAUAUUACCUAAAAGCUCUGCAAUCGCAUCAAGUUUGCUAGCAAUAUUCUCCAUCUUUUCACUAAAAUCCCGAUAUCUUCCGGGCACGAAGUAGUCUGGCUCGCAUUUCAUUCUUCCUUUCCUGGAACGAACCCACGCAAUCUGCUCCUUGUUCUUUUUACGCUCAGAGGACUUCCCUCGAAAUCCUAUAUCUGCAUGCUCUAAAUCGAGGAAAACCCGAUCGGCUUCAUGGACCAACAAUCGCAACUCGUCACCAAAAAUCCCAUGGCAGGUGAUCCUGAAAGCGCCGAAUUCCCUAGCGGACCUCAAGAGGCUAUCAAUGGUCUCAUAAUCACUCAAUUCUAAGGAUGGGUAAUAAAUUUCUGCGGGAAUCUGAUGAGUGUCAUUGAGCGGAAGGUGAGGAUCAGGGAGGGAAAGAUCAGGAACAUUCAAGGACUUGGCAAGGUAGUCACACAAGUUCUCAUUGGCUGCGGAGCGCAAUCCUUUUCCUGUGGGGAUCGGAGAUGGGGGUGGAGCAGAGAUGUGUGAUUCACUACCACUGCGUAGAAGGGACAUGGCUGCGUACUUGCGUUACGUAUUGUGAGAUGGAGGAAGAAGGAUGAGAGGAGAAGGAGAAGGUGGUGGGCCUGCUUAAUUUUUGUAAAGGCAAGCUUUGGAUUCAAACAUAAAUGGGCCCAUUGGGCAUGCACGUUGGGCUACGCAUGCCAUUGAGAUCGAGGCACGUUGCCAUUCUUGCUUUCCAAUAAUCUUGGUCAAUUGUAAAAGAGAGAUGCUGUGUCCAGGAUGGGGACAGUGGCUUAUUUGAUUCAACAAAACCCAAA